rnacentral:rRNA from 1 species
UACGAAGGGGGCUAGCGUUGUUCGGAUUUACUGGGCGUAAAGCGCACGUAGGCGGUUUGUUAAGUCAGGGGUGAAAUCCCGGAGCUCAACUCCGGAACUGCCUUUGAUACUGGCAAGCUAGAGUCCGGAAGAGGUAAGUGGAACUCCUAGUGUAGAGGUGGAAUUCGUAGAUAUUAGGAAGAACACCAGUGGCGAAGGCGGCUUACUGGUCCGGAACUAGACGCUGAGGUGCGAAAGCGUGGGGAGCAAACAGGAUUGAGAAA